rnacentral:rRNA from 1 species
AUUGAACGCUGGCGGCAGGCCUAACACAUGCAAGUCGAACGAGUGGCGGACGGGUGAGUAAUGUCUGGGAAACUGCCCGAUGGAGGGGGAUAACUACUGGAAACGGUAGCUAAUACCGCAUACCAUCGGAUGUGCCCAGAUCGGAUUAGCUGGUAGGUGGGGUAACGGCUCACCUAGGCGACGAUCCCUAGCUGGACUGAGAGGAUGACCAGCCACACUGGAACUGAGACACGGUCCAGACUCCUACGGGAGGCAGCAGUGGGGAAUAUUGCACAAUGGGCGCAAGCCUGAUGCAGCCAUGCCGCGUGUAUGAAGAAGGCCUUCGGGUUGUAAAGCACUUUCAGCGGGGAGGCGUUACUCGCAGAAGAAGCACCGGCUAACUCCGUGCCAGCAGCCGCGGUAAUUC